rnacentral:rRNA from 1 species
GACGAACGCUGGCGGCGCGCCUAACACAUGCAAGUCGAGCGAUGAAAUUUUAACCGAUCUCUUCGGAGAGAAGAUAAAAUGGAUUAGCGGCGGACGGGUGAGUAACACGUGAGAAACCUGCCUUUCACAAGGGGAUAGCCUCGGGAAACCGGGAUUAAUACCCUAUGACACAUUUCCUUCGCAUGGAAGAAAUGUUAAAACUCCGGUGGUGAAAGAUGGUCUCGCGCCUGAUUAGCUAGUUGGUGGGGUAACGGCCCACCAAGACCAUGAUCAGUAACCGGCCUGAGAGGGUGAACGGUCACAUUGGAACUGAGACACGGUCCAAACUCCUACGGGAGGCAGCAGUGGGGAAUAUUGCACAAUGGAGGAAACUCUGAUGCAGCGACGCCGCGUGAGCGAUGAAGGCUUUCGAGUCGUAAAGCUCUGUCCUAUGGGAAGAUAAUGACGGUACCAUAGGAGGAAGCCCCGGCUAACUACGUG